GGGGGGGGGGACGGGGCGCUCAGACCAGGACCCAGAGAAAGUUAUUCCAGGCUCACUUGUUCCAGAAAUAGAACCAAGCAGAAGAGAGGGGGCUGGAGGGCAGUAACGGGGCACUCGUGAGUCGGAGGCUGGGCCUGUGCAGUGGCCCUCUCAAGGCCACUCUCAACAGCCAUCGCAACAAGUCACUUAAUGCUCUGUGCCUCCUCCUCGGGGGCAUCCUGUCACUUUGCGUCACGGGGCCUGAGAAGGAGCACUUUGAUCCUCUUCUGGCCAACUGAGUUUCUGGCCAGCUCCUCGGGAGCCAAGAUCUUAAACCAGCCGUGCCACAGAAGGCCAGCCCGCCCAAUCACUGCAGCGCAAGUGAAGAGCUCUUCCCCGAAACCCCAAGGCUACCUCGGAACAGAGGCCCGGGAGUUGGGCGCUGAGGAACGUCCACGGAUUCCCCAAAGAUGACCGCCCAUGGCCACUCAGUGCCCUGGAGUGAAAUGCAUCUGGCCCAGGUUGAAACACGGCCAUCUCCAUCCUGGAUGGACAGCAGGCCAUGAGCGAUCUCCAAGAGCAGUCAGCACCCCACUGUUCUUCCAUGGGGCAGCGAGUACUGAUCCAACCCUGGGAACCUUGGGGAGGUCAUUUUAAAAUCUUAGGGCCCGUGUGUUUUCUUAGAAAAGAAGUCCUGGCAACUCUGGCAAGGAAAAAACAGUGCAGCCCUAGCAUGUUGGCUGGCACAUAGUAGGUGGAUAGACAGACAAACCCUCUCCCAAAGCCCACUAGCUAACAGAGAAGCUAGCUAUUUAGAAAGAGGGACAGGAGAAGCCCAGCACCUGGUAACACAAGGUUCUUACAUCAGGAGCAGGCUCUGGGGUACCUGGGAGAAAGCAGACCAGGGUGUGCUCGCGAUCCAGCCCCUGCCAUGCUAGCUGUGUGACCAUGGACAAGACACCGACCUCUCCUGAACCCUAGUUUGCUCCACUGUACAAUAUGCUCUUCCCGCCUGCCCAGGAUGGGCUCGGGCCUGCCCAGGUCUCCAGUGACCUCAUGUCAUGGGAAGGACUUUGAAAACUGCGGGUGCUACGCAAAUGACAAGUGACGUUUGUCAUUAUUAGUGGUUAGGAGGGUGGACCCUGGUGGCAGACUGCUGAGUGAAAAUCCCACUCUCCCUUUUAAUAGGUCUGCAGCCUUUAGCCUCCGUUCCUCAUCCCAGAUAUCAGGGAUAAAGCACAGAGCCCCUCCUUUGUGCCACUGUCAGGAUUAAGAGAGUUUAUUUUGAAAAACAUGCAACAAAGGUCCACAAAAGGGUUAGCACUUCACUGUCGUUGUAAUAAAAGACCCCCUCACAUAUGGGGAGAGUUCCAGGAUCCCCAAUGAAUGCCUGAAGCCAUGAAUGGCACUGAAUCCUACAUAUACAUGAAGAACUUUUACCUUUUUGCUUAAAGGACUCACUUUAUGGUU